GGCUCAGGAUGAACGGCUGGCGGCGUGCUUAACACAUGCAAGUCGAACGAAGCACUUAAGACAGAUCUUUCGGGAUGAAGACUUUUGUGACUGAGUGGCGGACGGGUGAGUAACGCGUGGGUAACCUGCCUCACACAGGGGGAUAACAGUUGGAAACGGCUGCUAAUACCGCAUAAGCGCACAGUACCGCAUGGUACAGUGUGAAAAACUCCGGUGGUAUAAGAUGGACCCGCGUCUGAUUAGCUUGUUGGUGAGGUAACGGCCCACCAAGGCGACGAUCAGUAGCCGGCCUGAGAGGGUGAACGGCCACAUUGGGACUGAGACACGGCCCAAAACUCCUACGGGAGGCAGCAGUGGGGAAUAUUGCACAAUGGGGGAAACCCUGAUGCAGCGACGCCGCGUGAGUGAUGAAGUAUUUCGGUAUGUAAAACUCUAUCAGCAGGGAAGAUAAUGACGGUACCUGACUAAGAAGCACCGGCUAAAUACGUG
rnacentral:rRNA from 1 species